CCACGUCCUGUUCCCGCGAUCACGUGACCGCCAACCCACGUGACCUCGCGGCGGCUUCUGCGCGAUGGCGGCGGAGCUGGCGGGCGUCUUGCUGCUCCUCGGGCUCUCUGCGCGUGGGCCCGCGCCAGCAGGUGCCGCGAAGAUGAAGGUGGUGGAGGAGCCCAACACGUUCGGGGUGAACAACCCGUUCUUGCCCCAGGCCAGUCGCCUCCAGGCCAAGAGGGAUCCUUCACCCGUGUCUGGGCCCGUGCAUCUCUCCCGACUCUCCGGCAAGUGCUUCAGCCUGGUGGAGUCCACGUACAAGUACGAGUUCUGUCCAUUCCACAACGUGACUCAGCACGAGCAGACCUUCCGCUGGAACGCCUACAGUGGGAUCCUUGGCAUCUGGCACGAGUGGGAGAUCGCCAACAACACCUUCACGGGCAUGUGGAUGAGGGAUGGCGACGCCUGCCGCUCCCGGAGCCGGCAGAGCAAGGUGGAGCUGACAUGUGGAAAAAGCAACCGGCUGGCCCACGUGUCCGAGCCCAGCACCUGUGUGUAUGCGCUGACGUUCGAGACCCCCCUCGUCUGCCACCCCCACUCCUUGCUAGUGUACCCGGCCCUACCGGAGGCCCUGCAGCAGCGGUGGGACAAGGUGGAACAGGACCUGGCUGACGAGCUGAUCACCCCCCAGGGCCAUGAGAAGUUGCUGCAGACACUUUUUGAGGACGCCGGCUACUUAAGGAGCCCAGAAGAAAAUGAAGCCCCCAAGCUGGAGGGAGGUCCUGACGGCUUGGGGUUUGAGACCCUGGAAAACUGCAGGAAGGCUCAUAAAGAACUGUCGAAGGAGAUGAAAAGGCUGAGAGGUCUGCUCACCCAGCAUGGCAUCCCCCACGCAAAACCCACAGAAACCUCCAGCUUGGAACACUUCGGCCACAAGAUGCCCAGACCGGGGCCUGCAGAGCAGCUGCGGGGCGACCCGGGCCUGCGUGGGAGCUUGUGAGCCUUUGGUGUGAAGAGCCCCACAGAGAAGCUGGCCAGAGGGAACCCCCAGGGACCAGCCGGCCAGGCUUGUGCUCAGAGAAGCAGACAAAACAAAGAUUCAAGAUUGAGGCUUCCAUAAAUUAAUCCAUGUGACGUGUCCACAUGGAACGAGGUCUGCUGACCACAGUUACACACAUGUCGUGACGCCAUUGUAUCACGACUACUAUUGAACACUAGGAGUUACAGGCAACAAGACCACGGCGGGACCGCCCACCACCGGGCUCCCACGCCCAGGGCCCGCCUGGCCACAGGUGGGAGCCACCAGGCCUGCCUCCAGCUCAGCACCAUCCAGCCACUGCUGUGCACCUCGACCGCUCAGGAUCCGUACCUGAGGCCUCGGCCCUCAAGAGCAGAGUCAGGUAACGAAGGGCCCCGGACCUGGGGCCCCAGGCUCCUGCCUCCAUUUCCAACCCCGGCGAUGCCCGUGUGCCCCGGGCCACUCUUUGGUCUUCCCACCACACUCCUGUUCUCAGAGCCAGUACUGAUCUGGGGGAGGAGGUACCACCUCCAUCUCCCAGCCAUUCCCCAGCACCACCACCUGCAAGCUGAGCCCUGGAGAUGCCUGAGGGGCAGCCGCCACCUCGUUCCCAGAAAGAGCAGAGCAGCCGCGGACAAGGGCUCAGCUGCCCCUGACUGCUGACAACCAGCGGACCCCCCUGGGCAGGCACCACACAUUCCACAAAAGACCAGAGGCCCGAAAUGGGAACCAAGUGCAUAAAUACUAAUGAAAACAAAGGAUUUUAAACACUGAUGACAGGAGCACAAAAUAGACGCAAUUUCUAGAUACUGAGCUAAUAUAAAUCAUCACUAUCAUCAAAAACAGAACAGUCACUAAAACCAAGUCAACAGUUACCUGUAGUAGCGGACUAGCUGCAGAAUGUCACGGAUCCGCUUCCUUUAAAAUGACAGAACGUGGCUAUCAGUUUGUCUUAUGUUGAAAAGUUCUUAAACCUC